GAGCACGUGACUGGGAUCCGGCUCGGGAAAGAUGGCGGCGCCCAGGGCUGCGGCGUGAAAGUGUCAGUGGGAGACUCCGUGCGCCGCGCUGGGGUCAGAGCCGCGGGGCCGGGCGCCAUGUCGCGGCUGAUCGUGAAGAACCUCCCGAAUGGGAUGAAGGAGGAGCGUUUCCGGCAGCUGUUCGCCGCCUUUGGCACGCUGACGGACUGCAGCCUCAAGUUCACCAAGGAUGGCAAGUUCCGCAAGUUCGGCUUCAUCGGCUUCAAGUCCGAGGAAGAGGCCCAAAGGGCACUGAACCAUUUCAACAAGAGUUUUGUCGACACAUCCCGGAUCACGGUGGAGUUCUGCAAGUCAUUUGGGGACCCGACAAAGCCGCGGGCCUGGAGCAAGCAUGCCCAGAAACCAAGCCAGACCAAGCAGCCUCCGAAAGACAAGGACUCGGUGCCCCCAGAAACUAAGAAAGACAAGAAGAAGAAAAAGGCAGCGAGUGAGCUGGAGGAGCUGAAGGAAAGCACCGAGUUCCGGGAGUUCCUGUCGGUUCACCAGAGGCGGACACAGGCAGCCACUUGGGCUAACGAUGCAGUGGACACGGAGCCCUCGCAAGGGAAGAGCAAGCAGGCCAGUGACUACCUGAACUUUGACUCUGAUUCGGGCCAGGAGAGUGAGGAGGGAGCCGGGGAGGACUCAGAAGAGGAGGGCGGCCUCGAACCGAAGGCAGCCGUGCGGAAGGAGCUGUCGGACAUGGAUUACCUGAAAUCCAAGGUGGUGCGGGCCGAGUCGCCGUCUUCCUCGGAGGAGGAGGAGGAGGAGGAGGAGGAAAGUGAAGAUGAGGCCGUGAACUGUGAUGAAGGCAGUGAGGCCGAGGAAGAGGAUCCCUGCACUGCCCCCGCCCGGCAGGGCCAGGAGAGGACAGGGCCAGGCCCAGAGCAAGGCACCCUGUCUGGGACCAAGAAACCCCAGGAGGCCAGCGCCCAGAAAGAGAAGCCAGCCGUCCCGUGGGAACCCAGCACCCCCCACACCGUGAAGCUGCGGGGAGCCCCGUUCAACGUCACAGAGAAAAACGUUACGGAGUUCCUGGCGCCCCUGAAACCGGUGGCUAUUCGCAUCGUGAGGAAUGCUCACGGGAACAAGACAGGGUACGUCUUUGUGGAUUUCAGCAGCGAAGAGGAAGUGAAGAAAGCUUUGAAGUGCAACAGAGAAUACAUGGGUGGCCGCUACAUCGAGGUGUUCAGGGAAAAGACUGUCCCCGUGGCCAAGGGGCCCCCGAAGAGCAGCAGCAAACCCUGGCAGGGCCGGACGCUCGGGGAGGACGAGGAGGAGGAGGACCUGGCCGACUCGGGGAGGCUCUUCGUGCGCAACCUGCCUUACACCAGCACCGAGGAGGACCUGGAGAAGAUCUUCUCCAAAUACGGCCCCCUGUCCGAGCUGCAUUACCCCAUCGACAGCCUGACCAAGAAACCCAAGGGCUUUGCCUUCGUCUCCUUCAUGUUCCCUGAGCACGCGGUGAAGGCCUACGCGGAGGUGGACGGGCAGGUGUUCCAGGGCAGGAUGCUCCAUGUCUUACCAUCCACCAUCAAGAAGGAAGCCAGCGAGGACGCCAGCGCCCCGGGAUCAUCCUCUUACAAGAAGAAGAAAGAGGCCAAAGACAAAGCCAACAGCUCCAGCUCUCACAACUGGAACACGCUGUUCAUGGGCCCGAAUGCAGUGGCCGACGCCAUCGCACAGAAGUACAGCGCCACCAAGAGCCAAGUGUUUGACCACGAGACCAAGGGCAGCGUGGCCGUGCGCGUGGCCCUCGGGGAGACCCAGCUCGUGCAGGAAGUGCGGCGCUUCCUCCUGGACAACGGGGUCAGCUUGGACUCCUUCAGCCAGCCCGCUGCGGAGCGAAGCAAAACCGUGAUUCUGGUGAAGAACCUGCCGGCAGGCACCUUGGCAGCCGAGCUGCAGGAGACCUUCGGCCGCUUCGGCAGCCUGGGCCGAGUGCUGCUGCCCGAGGGCGGCGUCACCGCCAUCGUGGAGUUCCUGGAGCCGCUGGAGGCCCGCAAGGCCUUCCGCCACCUGGCCUAUUCCAAGUUCCACCACGUCCCCCUGUAUCUGGAAUGGGCUCCCGUGGGCGUCUUCUCCAGCUCAGCCCCACAGAGGGAGGAACCCCAAGACACACCGGCGGAGCCUGCGGAAAAGGAUGGGGCGGAGCCAGAACCUGAUGGGGAUCCAGUGCCAGACAGCGAGACCCACGAAGGUGAAGAGCCAACAGAGGGAGGAGCAGCCAACUCUUCGUUGAAGAUGGAGGAAGAGGAGGAGGAGGAGGAGGAGGAGGAGGAGGAAGAGAGCCUUCCUGGGUGUACCCUGUUUAUUAAAAAUCUCAACUUCGACACAACUGAGGAGACGCUGAAGGGGGUGUUUUCCAAGGUGGGCGCGGUGAAGAGCUGCUCCAUUUCCAGGAAGAAGAACAAAGCAGGGGCGCUGCUGUCCAUGGGGUUCGGCUUCGUGGAGUACAGGAAGCCGGAGCAGGCCCAGAAGGCGCUCAAGCAGCUCCAGGGUCACGUCGUGGACGACCACAAGCUGGAAGUGAGGAUCUCGGAACGAGCCACUAAGCCAGCCCUGACAUCCGCUCGGAAGAAGCAAGUUCCCAGAAAGCAGACCACCUCCAAGAUCCUGGUGCGGAACAUCCCCUUCCAGGCCAACAGCCGGGAGAUCCGAGAGCUCUUCAGCACUUUCGGGGAGUUGAAGACCGUCCGCUUGCCCAAGAAGAUGACCGGGACGGGCGCGCACCGGGGGUUCGGCUUCGUGGACUUCCUCACCAAGCAGGACGCCAAGAGAGCCUUCAAUGCCCUGUGUCACAGCACCCACUUGUACGGCCGGAGGCUGGUGCUGGAGUGGGCGGACUCCGAGGUGACCCUGCAGGCCCUGCGGCGGAAGACGGCUGAGCACUUCCACGAGCCCCCGAAGAAAAAGCGGUCUGUGGUGUUGGACGAGAUCCUGGAGCAGCUGGAAGACAGUGAGAACGACAGUGAGGAGCAAACCCUUCAGCUGUGAGCUGGCACCGAGAGGACUCUUCCAUGAGGGCAGGUGAGCCCGAACAGCGUCUGGGCAGAGAUCCUUGGAUAACGGUGCUCAGGGCGAGAGCUGACUGCCUUUCCCGGAGGGAGAAUGAGAGCCUGUGCCUUCCACUCGUGUGCCUGGACCGCCUCCUCCUCUUCAGACCCCGAGGGGAAGCCGGCUUUCUGCCUCCAAGCACCACACUGCCCUGCUCCUGCUGCAGAGUGCACUUGGACCUUGGACCCACCGGAAGCGUGGGGAGCAGGACCUGUCUCCGAGCGGGGAUGGGGGGGUGGGGGUGGAAAGGGCUCCCGAUCCUGCGUGGUUUUUAUAUACGUUCCUUCCCUCACCUUUGAUAUGUAUAUAGGAUUUUUAUUUCUAAAUACAGAAGCAAGGUGCCUUUUA